rnacentral:sRNA from 1 species
GUGUGGUUUGUUGCUUAUUUUCAUCAAAGUAUGCUUAUAACAUUUAUUUUUUCUAAUCAGCAGUGUGCUGGGAAAUGCAAGUUAUUUAUAUCAGAGGCUGUUAGCAUUUUAUCACUUUUGGCUUUUCUCUUUUAUGGUGGUUGUGGAGACUGCAGGAGAUUCUAGUCUUUUUUUUUCCCUAGCAGUUCUGGCACAAUUAGAGGGUAUUUUAUCAUCUGGACCCCUGUCUCCGUCUUCAGUGGUAUCGUCCGCAUGAACCAAUACUGUUUUAACCUGACUUUACCCCCUCAUCCCAGUGGUAGCUUCAAGGAGAGGAUUGUAACACCUUGACUCCUACCUGCACUUGCUCCAUUUGCCUCCCUUUUAGAUUAUGAUACACCUCGGUGCCCGUGGUUAAGGGGAUUCGUUUUGCUUCGCUAAACUCUGCACAUGCACAGACCCACAGAGUGCAGUGUUCUUCUGGCAGCUUGCCUCCAGGAGAGAUGCCUCUACCCCACCGCCCUCUCUUGCCCCGCCUUCUGUGACCAGCACGUUGUACGGAAUGGGUGUCUAGAUGGCGGCCCUCACAAAGAACUGUCUUGGCACCGCCAUGCUGGUCUCCUGACAGCAUUACCCACAGCCAAAGUCUCUGCAGAUCCUUCACUGCACCUUGUUCAGUGUUGAAUUUGGGUCGUUAGACUUUCAUCAUCCCUCAUCUACCCUGAUUGACUCUUUAAUUCACUUUUGGGAAAGUUGACUAUUAUUAUCAUCAUAUUAUCAUUGGCAUGGAAUUUUGCUGGUCUACUGGUUCAAGUGGUCCUCCUGUGUCUCAGCCUCCCCUGCAGAGCCAUUGAACCUCACACCUUACUAGAGGUGCAGAAUCUUAUACACUCUUCAGCUUUGGAAGAAGGGGUUGAAGCCCCAGGUGAACAUGCCAUCGAAUGAGAAAUCACC